rnacentral:tRNA from 2 species
GGGCUUGUAGCUCAGUUGGUUAGAGCGUGCGUCUGAUAAGCGCAAGGUCGAUGGUUCAAGUCCAUUCAGGCCCACCA